GACGAACGCUGGCGGCGUGCUUAACACAUGCAAGUCGAACGGUAAGGCUCCAGCUUGCUGGGGUACACGAGUGGCGAACGGGUGAGUAACACGUGGGUGACCUGCCCUGCACUUCGGGAUAAGCCUGGGAAACUGGGUCUAAUACCGGAUAGGACCAUGGUGUGGAUACUGUGGUGGAAAGUUUUUUCGGAGUGGGAUGGGCCCGCGGCCUAUCAGCUUGUUGGUGGGGUAAUGGCCUACCAAGGCGGCGACGGGUAGCCGGCCUGAGAGGGUGGACGGCCACAUUGGGACUGAGACACGGCCCAGACUCCUACGGGAGGCAGCAGUGGGGAAUAUUGCACAAUGGGCGGAAGCCUGAUGCAGCGACGCCGCGUGGGGGAUGACGGCCUUCGGGUUGUAAACUCCUUUCACCAUCGACGAAGGGUUUCUGACGGUAGAUGGAGAAGAAGCACCGGCUAACUACGUG
rnacentral:rRNA from 1 species